rnacentral:ncRNA from 1 species
CUUUGCUCAGAGCAAACUCCGGGAAACCGGGGGGCGCAGAGCUCCGAGGCUACCUAAGACAGAACGUAUGCAUCGCAUGAUCAAUGCCAAUCAUCGCUUUCCGUGCGACAAAAGUUCUGGAUUACAGGCCGGUCGAGCCGCCAAA